rnacentral:rRNA from 1 species
AGUGGGGAAUCUUGGACAAUGGGCGCAAGCCUGAUCCAGCCAUGCCGCGUGGAUGAUGAAGGCCCUAGGGUUGUAAAAUCCUUUCGUUGGGGACGAUAAUGACGGUACCCAAAGAAGAAGCUCCGGCUAACUUCGUGCCAGCAGCCGCGGUAAUACGAAGGGGGCUAGCGUUGUUCGGAUUUACUGGGCGUAAAGCGCGUGUAGGCGGAUUUGUAAGUUGGGGGUGAAAUCCCGAGGCUCAACCUCGGAACUGCCUCCAAAACUACAAGUCUGGAGCAAGAUAGAGGCAAGUGGAAUUGCGAGUGUAGAGGUGAAAUUCGUAGAUAUUCGCAGGAACACCAGUGGCGAAGGCGACUUGCUGGAUCUUUGCUGACGCUGAGACGCGAAAGCGUGGGGAGCAAA